rnacentral:rRNA from 1 species
AGGGAAUUUUCGGCAAUGGGGGGAACCCUGACCGAGCAACGCCGCGUGAAGGAGGAAGGUCUUCGGACUGUAAACUUCUGUUAUAAAGGAAGAAAGGCGGAUACAGGGAAUGGUAUCCGAGUGACGGUACUUUAUGAGGAAGCCACGGCUAACUACGUGCCAGCAGCCGCGGUAAUACGUAGGUGGCAAGCGUUAUCCGGAAUUAUUGGGCGUAAAGAGGGAGCAGGCGGCAGCAAGGGUCUGUGGUGAAAGACUGAAGCUUAACUUCAGUAAGCCAUAGAAACCGGGCAGCUAGAGUGCAGGAGAGGAUCGUGGAAUUCCAUGUGUAGCGGUGAAAUGCGUAGAUAUAUGGAGGAACACCAGUGGCGAAGGCGACGAUCUGGCCUGCAACUGACGCUCAGUCCCGAAAGCGUGGGGAGCAAAUAGGAUUAGAUACCCUAGUAGUCCACGCCGUAAACGAUGAGUACUAAGUGUUGGGAGUCAAAUCUCAGUGCUGCAGUUAACGCAGUAAGUACUCCGCCUGAGUAGUACGUUCGCAAGAAUGAAACUCAAAGGAAUUGACGGGGGCCCGCACAAGCGGUGGAGCAUGUGGUUUAAUUCGAAGCAACGCGAAGAACCUUACCAGGUCUUGACAUACUCAUAAAGGCUCCAGAGAUGGAGAGAUAGGUAUAUGGGAUACAGGUGGUGCAUGGUUGUCGUCAGCUCGUGUCGUGAGAUGUUGGGUUAAGUCCCGCAACGAGCGCAACCCUUAUCGUUAGUUACCAUCAUUAAGUUGGGGACUCUAGCGAGACUGCCAGUGACAAGCUGGAGGAAGGCGGGGAUGACGUCAAAUCAUCAUGCCCCUUAUGACCUGGGCUACACACGUGCUACAAUGGAUGGAGCAGAGGGAAGCGAAGCCGCGAGGUGGAGCGAAACCCAGAAAACCAUUCUCAGUUCGGAUUGUAGUCUGCAACUCGACUACAUGAAGUUGGAAUCGCUAGUAAUCGCGAAUCAGCAUGUCGCGGUGAAUACGUUCUC